UGUGCAUUCUAAGUCAGCCUUUAGCACUGGAGGAUGGGUGUUAGAUCUUUUUGAAGAUCAUUAACUCCUCAAAUUGCAAAGGCACUCAUUUGUGUUCAGAAUCGAAUUCAAUCUAAACCUUUGGAUGACAUGAUUGAAGAAAUUGACGAGGCUGAAGAAAUUGAUGAAGAAUUCAUAAACAUAGGAAAGGAGAUGGAAGCUGCAUUUGAGAAUCGAAAUAAUGACUCUAUGAGUCUUGAAGCAUAGUGAUGGAAGCAAUUGUAGGCAAAAGAAAAUUUCAUGGGGUUUUGUCAUCGACAACAUGGAGAAUUUUGGAGCUGCUUCUUUGAGGAGUAGAAGGUUAGGGAGCUACUUCAAUAUAAGUUCUGAACCAAACAGGAGAGAAGUCCCAAAAUAUUCUGUUGAUGAACACCAAAGAGGGAGAAGACUGAUAUAUAUGUGGAUGAUAAUGGGUGGAGUUCAAUUUUAAUAUCCUGUUUCAAAAUUGUCUUUUGCUUUCUGACUAUGAUGGCUAUUACUUGGGUUUUCUAAUUUAUGAUCUCUUGUGUUUGUUGUUUCUGGGCUCUCUUGAUUUUGGUUUUGGGAUUGAGAUUUGGGUUGUCUUUAAUAGCUGAAAUGGUUUGAUUGGAGCAACUAAUUUUAGGAAUAUGUUUAUAUGGUUCAUUUAAGAGGAUGUGGGUUUGGCAAAAGGUAAUUGAAGAAAAGCAAGGUGUUGAAAUGUUGUUAAUGUUGAAUAGAAAUGAAGUGAAACGGUUAUUAUUUUGA